rnacentral:rRNA from 1 species
AUUGAACGCUGGCGGAAUGCUUUACACAUGCAAGUCGAGCGGCAGCACGGGAGCAACCCUGGUGGCGAGCGGCGAACGGGUGAGUAAUACAUCGGAACAUGCCCAGUCGUGGGGGAUAACACUUCGAAAGAAGUGCUAAUACCGCAUACGUCCUGAGGGAGAAAGCGGGGGAUCUUCGGACCUCGCGCGAUUGGAGUGGCCGAUGCCAGAUUAGCUAGUUGGUGGGGUAAAGGCCUACCAAGGCAACGAUCUGUAGCUGGUCUGAGAGGAUGAUCAGCCACACUGGGACUGAGACACGGCCCAGACUCCUACGGGAGGCAGCAGUGGGGAAUUUUGGACAAUGGGGGCAACCCUGAUCCAGCCAUUCCGCGUGAGUGAAGAAGGCCUUCGGGUUGUAAAGCUCUUUCGGCAGGAACGAAACGGCGAGCUCUAACAUAGCUUGCUAAUGACGGUACCUGAAGAAGAAGCACCGGCUAACUACGUGCCAGCCGCCGCCGUAAAAC